rnacentral:lncRNA from 1 species
UGUUCAAGCUUCUGAAUCUCGCCUCUUGGGCAGUAUUCUCGAAGGAGCAUUCGUUUCAGGUUUUCCCAACCCAUGGAGUUCGCCACCACUAGGGUUAGUGUCUGGACGUGGCCGUUCCACCAUGUCAGGGCGCGUUCAGAGAAAGUAAAAGCGGCAAACUUUACUUUGCUUUCUUCAGGACAUGCACAGAUUUCGAAUACAGCUUCCGUUUUCUCUAUCCAUUGAGAUAGAGCCAAUACUCCCCCAGUCCCGUAAAAGGGAAUAGGUUUUCCGUUGGUGAAGUCUUUGUAAGUGCAUACCCCUGAACGGCUUUGACCUUGGCCAUUUGUAAAACUGUUUGUUCCUCCCCCCGAUCCGUUGUUGCUCAUUUGUGCCAUUGCUGCAGUUACAGCAGCGGUUACAGCAGUCUGGAACAUAACGGUGUCCAUAAUUGGAGGAGGUGGUGGAGGUGGUGUUGAAGUUGAGUUUCUGCGUGUUGAUCUACGAGGAGGCAUGUUCUGGUAGAGAAAAAUAAGAAUGAAUACUAUAAGUUUCUAAUGUUUUGACAAUCGUGUGUUAGUUGUAUCUUGUAAUUUGUUUUGACUUUAGUUUAUGGUUUCAAGGUAGGCAUAGAAAUUUAAAACUCGAAAUUUCUGAGAGGUAUAUAAUAAGAAAUACUUCAUAUUUAUACAUAUAGGUCACACCUGAGGUGUGUUACAUUGCAUAUCUUGUUUGGGAAAAUUUGAUCCUCCUAGAGAUCUCCGAUUACGGAUACAACAGGGAAAACAAGGGAAAUAAAGGAAAAACUUUUAUCCGAAAUCCUAAUCUAUAACAAAAUUGUUGGGGCUCGAACAAGUUCUACUUGCGGCGUUUGGAGCUAGAUUCGGCAUCCGACCGUUUGACUCCCAUCAGUCGCCUCUCAAGAUCUGCUUGUUGUUCCUUCAUCUCUCUUAUUUCUGCCAGAGCCGUUAUCAUUUGGUUCUGAAGUGUCCCCGUGUAGAUUUGGGUAUUCUCAUGUAGUCCUUCCAAACGGCGGAUGUCAGCGGCGUUACCUUGGGUAGCAGCAUUGACCUCGCGAACUCUGGCUGCUUGCCUGUCCGUCUCGUAGUUCUGGGUAGCUAUAGCGUUCACAAUAACAGGAAGUGCUCGAUCAGCUGAGCUUCCCCCACUGACAUUGUAAAAAUCUCGGCACAUGCCGAAAGGAGGGCGUACACCUUGUUGGCGGCUCCAGUAGUAGAGGUGACUUCCCCACAUGGGAAUGGGUCCCGGUUGAUAUGGUCUGAUUUCGGGAGGAUGAGGGAUGGGAGGGUCGUACACUUCUGGCUCGGAGUCUGUCCCGCUAGAAAUCUCCUCGAUCUCUUCGUCGACUUCGAAUUCCUCUCCGACUUCGACUUCGAAUUCUUCCUCGAUAACCCCUUCGGGUUCUUCCUCGACCUCUUCUUCGAUUUCCUCUGGGUCUUCCUCCGGGUCUUCUUCUAUCCAACCGCCGUUGCCUUGGUUUGGGUAGUAGGGAUCUCCUGGUAAAUGGAAUCCGGCCAUUUGUCUGUACUAGGAUGGAUGUAUGAGAACUUUAUAAGAAAAGAAAAUUCUAUUUAACGACUUACUAUUUUUAACUAUAAUUUGUACAACUAUUUUUAAUAAUACUCCUAUAAUAUUUCAAUUUGGCGAAACUAAAAUAAUUUGUAUUUGGUAAGUUCUUGGCUUGUUGUCCACUAUGACCAUUCCUCGACGUACGUUGGUCAAAUCCAGGAUAAAUAUAGUUGAUCAGGCUAUAUUUAUUCUCGACAUGAUUACAUACCCCGGGGCUCAAUCGUAGUGUCGUAACUUGCCUUAAUACUUUUUAGUAAAACUUGUUAUGAUACGAGAUUAAUGCAUGCUUGUAAAAAUGUAUAUCUUUAAAAGAAAGUAUUUUGUUCAUGAAAAUGUUUCGUCAGAGGGUUUUUGGUCCCCUUUGCAUUUAUAGUUUGUAUAUCUUAUGUGGUUCGAUAUACUUAGUUCACUAUAAACAAUGCUCUGAUACCAAUCUGUCACACCCCCAAACCAGAAUGGCGGAAACAUUCGGGGGUGGAUGACUUCACGUAGUAUCACAACAAUUGAAUAUUGUAAAGAAAGUAACACAACCAUCAUAUAUAUAAUGAAAACGUAUAAUGUGGCGUUAUACAUAUUAGCAAAAGAAUAUUACAAUAUGAUGAUAAAUGUUCAAUAAUAAAACAUCCUUAGUGUUCCUUCUCCAAAAGCUGGUGGUUACCUGUAUUACUGAUUCCCUGAGAAAUACAAGUGGUUUCGAAAAAGUGUCAACAAUUAAGUUGGUGAGUUCAUAAGUGUUUUGCAUUGAAAAGUAUGUCCUUUUUGGUAGUAAAUCGAUGAACGAGGUUUUCAGAAAAUCCAAUAUUUUCUAUAAAUGGUUUGAAAAGUUUCCAGAGUUGGAGUGCGUUAGUAUGUUCCAUACUUGAAUAAAAAUGAUAAACUUUGUGCUAAAAAUAAAGUGGAAAACUGAAUGCAUAUAUGAAUCUCGUAAAUCAAACUUGUUUUUAUACUUUUAUGUGAGUUUUAUAACCAUACUAUUGACACUGACGGCCUGUAACAACAUUCUUCAGGUGUUGUAGUGUUAUGACAUUUGUCACCCCAGACCUGCCGGUCUAACUAUAGCUAAUAGUUUAGGUGCGGGGUUGUCAAUCCCGUAUAGAUCUAUACACAAGUAUCACGCUCUCUCUCCAAGAGAUUAUGGUAUAUAAUACAGGACUUGAAAUGCAUACAUACGAGUACGUUGAAGUUUGAAUAUCUCACAUUACUUGGUAUAAACAGAUUUACGAUGAUAAAGACUUUACUUCAUUUGAAAGUAUUUCAUUUGUCAAGAUGUAUAUGUAAAAUGUAUGAAUAACUUGUUAACUAUACUCAUUAUAGUUUCUCAAAAGUAUGUUUCCAUUUAGUAAGAAUAACUUGGUGAUAUAAUAGCCCUCUAAACAUAAAGAUGUUUGUAUCAAUACCCUAUAAGAUAGAUAUUAUAAUUAUGUUUAUAAAAACGAUACUUUGACUUGUAAUGUACUUGUAUUUCCCCCCUAAAACAUGAAAAGAAUUGAAAAGUAGGGGUAUGAACUCACCCGUUUGGUUUGAAGAGAGAGAGGCUAGAGUUGAGCAGAACUUCGACCGCGGAAAGUUGCGUCUUCGGGCUCUUCGGGGAUCUCUGCAGCGUAGAUCUUUCGUCGGGGGCUCGAGUGCGGAAACCGAGGGCGUCGGGAUGAUCUCUGGGGCUUAGAAGUAUGGGAGAGUGACUGAGGAUUUGAGAAUGUGUGCAAAAACUCGAAGCUCAACCUCUCUAUUUAUAGGCUGGAAACUCCUCGUACGUGGGACGUACUACCGCAGUACGCGGGGCGUACUUCGGUUACGCGGGGCGUAACAAUGCGUCAUGGCUUACGACUCCGGUCUAGCUAAGCGUAGAGGUGCAGCCGAUGGGACUCGACUCUGGGUCUAGUACGCGGGGCGUACUCCCAUAUUACGCGGGGCGUAAUCCCGGCUCCCGUCUUCUAAAUUCCGUAACUUUCGCGUACGGGCUCCGUUUUUCGCGUUCUUUAUAUCCACGCGUAGGUGAGAUUAUGCUCUACAACUUUCAUUUAGACUCCGUCGGCUAGUUUUGACUUUAUUUUUAAUGAUAUAUUUUUAAUAGGCCGGGACUCCUAAAGUCCGUUAAAAAUUCAUAGUUUCUUUAUUCGACGUCGGUUUUCGUUUGUCUUUUUAUCAAUUUGCUCCUAUUGUGGAGAUCUUCAACUCUCAUUCAGGUUGCGUUAGCUAAUUAACACUCGAUCUUCAAUUCAAGUUUUUAGCCCUCUACUACUGUUACGAAACUUUGAAAAUUCGUAACUUCUUCAUACGAGGUCCAAAUUGGGCAAUCUUUUUAUGUAUGUUUACAGUUUAGCGGACUCUACAUCUUUUGUUUAGAUACUUAAGGCAAAAAUGCAUUUUAUUGAAAUUUCACUUUUUACGUUAAAUAGCGUUUUAACGGCGUGUCGUAAAUAUACGAGUGGUUAUAAUUUCUUCAAUAUAACCCGGUUUUGAACGUUCUUUAUGUUUUUGGAAACCUUGACACGUUAUCUAAUAUUUGAUGCAUCCCAACUUAGAUAUUUGAACACUUUAUUUUCGACGUUAAUUUAGUUGGUUCGAAAUGGUUUUUGUUAUAUUUGACAUUUGAGCGUUACACUGCUUUGGAAAAAUAUAGGGUUGUCACAGUAGUAGCAGCAUGAACCGUAACCAUUUGUUUCUUUGAAGGUUCUUGCGUAGUUUGCCCCUUUUUCUUGUUCCAGAAUUUCUUCUUGUUGUUGUUGUUGGCAUUGAUCUCGUUGUUGCUAUUCCCUUUGGUUGGUUCAGCCAUGACACUAGUGACUCUUUGACAGACACCAUGAUCAACGAGGGAUUGUGACAGUUCCUUGGCGCUGUUGAAGGUCAUGGGUUUGGAAGCUAACACACUUCCUCGAAGUUGGGGUGAUAGUCCCCAGAUGUAUCUCUCGACCUUUUGGCUUUCCAGGAUCAACAUUCCUGGGCAAAGUGUUAUUAAAUCACUGAACCUGUUGGUGUAACCUGCGAUGUCCGAGCCUACCANCCACAGUUCUUGUUCAAGCUUCUGAAUCUCGCCUCUUGGGCAGUAUUCUCGAAGGAGCAUUCAUUGCAGGUUUUCCCAACCCAUGGAGUUCGCCACCACUAGGGUUAGUGUCUGGACGUGGCCGUUCCACCAUUUCAGGGCGCGUUCAAAGAAAGUAAAAGCAACAAACUUUACUUUGCUUUCUUCAGGGCAUGCGCAAAUAUCGAAUACAGCUUCCGUUUUUUCUAUCCAUUGAGAUAGAGCCAAUACUCCACCAGUCCCAUAAAAGGGAAUAGGUUUUCCGUUGGUGAAGUCUUUGUAAGUGCAUACCCCUGAACGGCCUUGACCUUGGCCAUUUGUAAAGCUGUUUGUUCCUCCCCCUGAUCCGUUGUUGCUCAUUUGAGCCAUCGCUGCGGUUACAGCAGCGGUUACAGCAGUCUGGAACAUAACGGUGUCCAUAAUUGGAGGAGGUGGUGGAGGUGGUGUUGAAGUUGAGUUUCUGCGUGUUGAUCUACGAGGAGGCAUGUUCUGGUAGAGAAAAAUAAGAAUGAAAACUAUAAGAUUCUAAUGUUUUGAUAAUCAUGUGUUAGUUGUAUCUUGUAAUUUGUUUUGACUUUAGUUUAUGGUUUCAAGGUAGGCAUAGUAAUUUUUGUUAACACCCAUAAGUUCCGAGAGGUAUACA